GACGAACGCUGGCGGCGCGCCUAACACAUGCAAGUCGAGCGAGAACCAGGGCUUCGGCCCUGGGGACAGCGGCGAACGGGUGAGUAUCACGUGGAUAACCUGCCCUCGGCACCGGAAUAGCCCGGGGAAACUCGGAUUAAUGCCGGAUAGCCCCUUCCUCCUGCGGGAGGUCGGGAAAAGGUAGCUUCGGCCUCUGGCCGAGGAUGGGUCCGCGGCGGAUUAGCUUGUUGGCGGGGUAAUGGCCCACCAAGGCGACGAUCCGUAGCUGGUCUGAGAGGACGAGCAGCCACACUGGGACUGAGACACGGCCCAGACUCCUACGGGAGGCAGCAGUGGGGAAUCUUGCGCAAUGGGCGAAAGCCUGACGCAGCGACGCCGCGUGCGGGAAGAAGGCCUUAGGGUUGUAAACCGCUUUCAGGAGGGACGAAGCCACUCGGGUGAACAGCCCAGAGGGUGACGGUACCUCCAGAAGAAGCCCCGGCUAACUACGUGCCAGCAGCCGCCGUAACAC
rnacentral:rRNA from 1 species